rnacentral:rRNA from 1 species
UACAGAGGUGGCAAGCGUUGUUCGGAAUUACUGGGCGUAAAGGGCGCGUAGGCGGCCUUCUAAGUCAGACGUGAAAUCCCCCGGCUUAACCGUGGAACUGCUUGGUAUACUGGCUGUCUUGAGCCACUUAGGGGCAACCGGAACAAACGGUGGAGCGGUGAAAUGCGUAGAUAUCGUUUGGAACGCCAAUGGUGAAAACAGGUUGCUGGGAGUGUGCUGACGCUGAGACACGAAAGCCAGGGGAGCAAACGGG